rnacentral:rRNA from 1 species
AUUGAACGCUGGCGGCAGGCCUAACACAUGCAAGUCGAGCGGAUGAAGGGAGCUUGCUCCUGGAUUCAGCGGCGGACGGGUGAGUAAUGCCUAGGAAUCUGCCUGGUAGUGGGGGAUAACGUCCGGAAACGGGCGCUAAUACCGCAUACGUCCUGAGGGAGAAAGUGGGGGAUCUUCGAACCUCACGCUAUCAGAUGAGCCUAGGUCGGAUUAGCUAGUUGGUGGGGUAAAGGCCUACCAAGGCGACGAUCCGUAACUGGUCUGAGAGGAUGAUCAGUCACACUGGAACUGAGACACGGUCCAGACUCCGACGGGAGGCAGAGGUGGGGAAUAUCGGACAAUGGGCGGAAGCCUGAUCCAGCCAUGCCGCGUGUGUGAAGAAGGUCUUCGGAUUGUAAAGCACUUUAAGUUGGGAGGAAGGGCAGUAAGUUAAUACCUUGCUGUUUUGACGUUACCAACAGAAUAAGCACCGGCUAACUUCGUG